UUGAUUUAAUGUUGUUUAAAUCUUGACCAUUGGUAUAAUUUUAAGGGAUACUGGUUACUGGCUAAACAGGUUAUAUAUAUAAACCAAAAAAAAUAAAGCAAAAGAAUGCAGAAUCAUUCACGCAUCAACAACGCCUCUGGUUUUCCUCUCUACUCUGUCUCGUCUCAAUGUUAAAGCCUCUCCAAUCCAACCUCAAAUCCACAUCCAAUCCAACUCAGCGGCGCUUCUUCUAUCUCUCUGCCCUUUUGUUCGAAGUUUCCACCGUUUAUUGAAUCUAAAAUCUCAGGUUGCUAGGAACAAAACCAAUCUAUUAUUCCUUUUGGUUCAUAGCAGGUUCAUAGUAGGUACAGGACUGGGAAGCUGCUUUUGAAGUUGGAUACCAUUAGAUUCAUAGCAGCAAAUCAUACCAUAAUUUCAGCUCUGAACUAUAUCUUUAAAUAAAAAAACAUUUUCCACUUUUUAUCUGACUGUCUAUGAAAUGAAUCUUUAUACUUAUCGUAGUCACUCUUGUGCACUCAUUUCUUUUGGAUUAUGGUAUUUUACACUGCCUAAUAGCAGCAACGACUGCAAUGGCGACCCAACCUAGUGGCUAUAGUGAUGCUUGAAUAGUGAAAAUGCCCGUGAGACAAGAUUGAGUAGCCUAACUCCCUGUUUCAUCUUUUCAUUUUAUGGAAAUUGAUUUAUAUCAAAGUUUUUGUUGUGCUUGUGGUUGGAGAAGAACACCUACUCUAACAGAUGCACACUUGUGUUAUUGUGAUGGAAUUUGGAGUUGAUUAGACAUGCGGCCCUCUUGUCCACAUUAGCUGCCAUAUUUGUUAUUUUUUAGGGUCUAUCCUGACUGAGUUCAUUUACUUGAUAUAAAAUUUUUUAUUUAUCUGAGUUUUGGUUAAAUGUGGAAUCAAUUGGAAAAAAGAAUUAUCUUUUCUUUUUUCUAAGAUCUAAUCAUAUUAGCUUCUGCCCCUCUCUUUGCAUCUGCAUUCUUUUAAUAAGUGAAGGAUAGAAGUUAAAUAAGUAAUGACUAAUGAACAAUGUAUGCAACUAAAAACAUAUAUACAGAUAUAUGUCAAUUGUUUUGGUUAAACUUCAUUUUUUGGUUACUGUUAUCACAUUAUUAGUUUUUGGAAUAGAGUUACUGGAUUGGAGUUGGUAUUAAGUUCAUCUUGUUAUCACUAGUUCUUUUUAGUUGCUUGCUUUAUGUUUUCUGAUAUAACAAACUCUUUGAGUACCGAUCUUAGAAGCAAACCCCGAGUUCUUAGUCAUGUGGCUUAAUGGUUAGAAAUUUUCUGUUCUAGGUUCUGUUUUUAUUUUUCUUUUCUUUUUUCUCAUUUUUCAGCUGCUAACCAGAACAAUAUUUUUAUGGAACUAUGACAUGAACAAUAUUUUUAGUCACUUCCUUUUUGCUUGUCUAAUGUUUUCUGUUUUUCAUUUCAGCUAGUGCUUAUAUACCUGGAGCACUAGAUUUGAUGACUGACUUACUUCACAACCUCCAAUAUAAGACUAUGAAUUAUGGUUUCCAUAUGACAAUUACAAAAUGGGAUGAAGUUGUUUCAAAAGAAAUGGAAAUCAUGGUUAAGGAAAAAGGUUGCUUUUCUUAUAUUUUCUGUUUGUAUUGUAUGGAUUUCAUCUUACAUUGGACCUUUGUGAACACUUCUUUAAUUUCCUUUU